rnacentral:rRNA from 1 species
CCCUUAGAUGUUCUGGGCCGCACGCGUGCUACACUGAGUGGAUCAGCGGGUCAGGUUGCGCGAAAGUGUUUCCUAAUCUUUAAAUCCGCUCGUGAUGGGGAUUGACGGUUGCAAUUUUCCGUCAUGAACGAGGAAUACCUUGUAAGCGCGGGUCAUCAUCCCGCGCGGAAUACGUCCCUGCCCUUUGUACACACCGCCCGUCGCUCCUACCGAUUGAGUGGUCCGGUGAGGCUUUGGGAUCUGAGCGGAAAGAGCGUUUCGCUGUUUCUGCCCGGAAAACUCAGUCGAACCUUAUCAUUUAGAGGAAGGAGAAGUCGUAACA